rnacentral:rRNA from 1 species
GAUGAACGCUGGCGGCGUGCCUAAUACAUGCAAGUCGAGCGAACAGACGAGGAGCUUGCUCCUCUGACGUUAGCGGCGGACGGGUGAGUAACACGUGGAUAACCUACCUAUAAGACUGGGAUAACUUCGGGAAACCGGAGCUAAUACCGGAUAACAUGUUGAACCGCAUGGUUUAACAGUGAAAGACGGUCUUGCUGUCACUUAUAGAUGGAUCCGCGCCGCAUUAGCUAGUUGGUAAGGUAACGGCUUACCAAGGCAACGAUGCGUAGCCGACCUGAGAGGGUGAUCGGCCACACUGGAACUGAGACACGGUCCAGACUCCUACGGGAGGCAGCAGUAGGGAAUCCUCCGCAAUGGGCGAAAGCCUGACGGAGCAACGCCGCGUGAGUGAAGAAGGUCUUCGGAUCGUAAAACUCUGUUAUUAGGGAAGAACAAAUGUGUAAGUAACUAUGCACGUCUUGACGGUACCUAAUCAGAAAGCCACGGCUAACUACGUG